AUUGAACGCUGGCGGCAGGCCUAACACAUGCAAGUCGAACGAGUGGCGGACGGGUGAGUAAUGUCUGGGAAACUGCCUGAUGGAGGGGGAUAACUACUGGAAACGGUAGCUAAUACCGCAUACCAUCAGAUGUGCCCAGAUGGGAUUAGCUAGUUGGUGGGGUAACGGCUCACCAAGGCGACGAUCCCUAGCUGGUCUGAGAGGAUGACCAGCCACCCUGGAACUGAGCCACGGUCCAGACGCCUCCGGGAGGCAGCAGUGGGGAAUAGAGCACAAUGGGCGGAAGGCUAAGGCGGCCAUGCCGCGUGUAUGAAGAAAGCCUUCGGGUUGGAAAGGACUUUCAGCGGGGAGGCGUUACCCGAAGAAGAAGCACCGGCUAACUCCGUGCCAGCCGCCGCGGUAAUAC
rnacentral:rRNA from 1 species